GCAUAACUCCUGAACUAUUUACCUGGUUAAUUAAAACAUCAUAAAAAUUCAAACAAUGAAUAUUACACAUCAAAAUCAAUAAAAAAACAUAGAACUGCAAGAAGUAUUCUCACUGUAAGCGAAAGGAAGAUAGCUACAUGUACAAGUUACUAUUUAGCAUAAAUAAUAGUAUUUACAUAUUACAUUGCACUACAGCCAUCUUUAUUUUCCUCCUUUGGUUCCUUUACUAGUUGGAUUUCACACACCAGUCUAUAAGUUGGGAAUAGGUACAGGUCCCAUGGCUUAUGAAGGGUAAACUAGCAAGUGGUUUUCCACUGCCAGACAAAUUAUAAAAUAAUCAACUUAAGCUGCUGAAUGCAUUCUUGUGGUUACAAACUAACAUAUCUCCAUCAAACUGACAGGAUACCUCUAAUAAGAUGGAAACUGAAAUACAAUUGGAUAAAAAAUAUGUCUGUGAAUUGAAUGAACAAAGAUGUUCAACAAAACGAUCUUCUUAUCUUCCUUUUUUUUAUUUUUUUU
rnacentral:misc_RNA from 1 species